rfam:Enterococcus rivorum strain LMG 25899 31, whole genome shotgun sequence.
ACAUCCUUUAAGAGUAGUCCCGUGAGGCUAAGAAGGAAACGUGCAGAAUAAUCUAAGUGCGCUUAGAGAAAAGACUGCAUGUGAUGCAUAGUACCUUAGUGUAAUCAAUCCUCCUGCCCAAAAUCCGGGUAGGAGUUUUUUUGU